rnacentral:lncRNA from 1 species
GGGGAAUGUUAAUUACAAAUGUUUCGGAACAAGAUCAGUGUGAAAUCCCUGCUGUGCUGGAGCCUGUGCUGGCUGUUCUGCUUUGUGUCGGUGUCUCUCUAAUGUGGAAGGUAAAGCUCGCAGUUGGGAGGAGCAGGAAUUCAAAGUCCCUCAGUGAUCUAAAUAACGAGGGAAAUUUUCAGUGACAUAAGUUCAAUAUUAUUUUUUAUGUUAGAGGCCCAGAGCCCAGGGGGUGCACGCUUAGAGCACCAGGCAGAACCACAGUCAAAAAUGUAUUAAGCUUUUGAGAUGUAGGAUCCAAGAUCAAAUUGAAAAACAAAAACGAUAUUAGAUGAAUUCUGUGUAUUUUGGAGACUCCUGAGGUUGAACAUGGGUUAAGUUUUGAUGUUGUUUUUGACCUAUAACCACAAACUAGACCUUAAGUUUGAAGGCUGACUGUCGGUAAAUACUUAUUUUUAUUGGCAGGGUUUGGCGACUGACUGCUCUAUAACUCUAAAAUGUAUAUAUUUUCACAAAAGUAUCUAAAAAAUAUAAGCAUGAAAUGGAAAUUAACCCCCACACAAUGUGAUAAUGAAGCAGCUAACACAUUUUGCUUUUCAAAAAAGUAAACUAAACAUGGAUGUGAAUGGGGUUUGUGAGCUGUUGAAGCCAGCCUCAAGUGGACACUUAAGGAACUGCAGUUUUUCACAACUCCUCUCGGGUUUAUUUUAACCAUAGACUGUAUAUAGAAUGGACAGCGUCUGCCUCCUUGCUGGGUGAAGCCACUCCACUGACUUGAAGUUUCAGUAAGACUGGUUUGUGCUCAAAUCCUCUUUUUUUCUGUGCAGCUCCAUUUUAAAAGUUAUUAGGGGGUUCAUGUUUUCUAUGAUUGUCACCUGAUACAGCCUAUUGGCGUUGAGGGAUUGCGUAGCUCACCCAGGGGAUACGCUGUUUGAGCAGAGCGUCAUCACACCAACUCUCGGUGACUCUCCCGCUGAAUGCACAACGCUGCUGCACAACGCUGCUGCACAACGCUGCUGCACAAUGCUGCUGCACAAUGCUGGUUUCAGGAAAUGUAGAUAAAUCGAGAGCUUAGUGGCUUCAAAUCCGUAUACAGGCAGGAGGCAGAGCCAAGUUGUCCAUAGUGUAUACAGUCUAUGAUUUUAACACAGACAGUUGCUGGUUUUUAGAAAAGCAAGAAGUGAAAUUCAAUUUUCAUGUUUUGAAUUUCCAACAAGCAAAAAGCAAACUACAAUGUAAAGGCAACUUUUAAUACAACAAAAAAUUAAGAGAAUCACUUAUCACCGUAGGAAGUACAUUAUGUGUUGAUUGACCUAUCCAUGAAUAAACAGAAAUCUACAGUUUGACUUUCUUCAUCUCCAGGUAGAUAGAUUGUACUGUGCAGAACAGUUUGAGGCAUGAAAAAGCAAGAUUAUUCUUUUAUCAACCAACUUUGAGCUAUACCUUGUCUGGGCACAAUGACAAAUGCAAAUCAAAGACCCCAUUCUGUUUUCAUCUGUCUUUUCCAUCGCCUUCAAAAAAGCAAUUUAUUUAACUGCUUCUAAUCCAAAUUUCCUUUAGUUCGGGGCAGUAGCCUUUAUGAUAGCAUAACCUUACCUUCCUCUGUUCUGCAUCUCAUAUUAACAUCAAUUGUAAGGGAAUAUACAUAACAUUGACCUGAGGAUAGAGGCAGAAAUGAGCCAGUAAGCAUUUUUCACAAUCUCUGUAGUGUCUGGAGGUAGGCAGACUGAGAUACUGGACCUGCUAAGGGAGUUUUAAAUUGAGCCUGCAGAUUCUGUAAUAUGCUAAGUCAGGAAAUUAGCAUGUGUGCUUUAAUAUUUUUUGGACUGUUGGGAGUCAAGUUUUUAGAUUGGAUGGCCUUUUGCUGGGGAACAUACACAGAAGCACUGAAUAGUGCCAGAGAGAUUAGUCUCUCCACAAAGUGAAGCCAAUAGAAAACCCAUUAGUUUGAGCUGAUCUGGAAAUUAUAUGGGAUUGAUCCUGAGGUAAGGACAGUUUUUCAUGCUCAGUGCUGCACAUUGAUUCACACUACCAUAAUUACAAAUGAAAAUCAUUAUGUCUCCAAGUUGUAUUUUGUUAGUGUCUGAUAUGAGGGUAGAGACCACAGUGUUAGCUGCGUUUCCACCAAAAUUACCAAGAACUUUUAAUCCUAGGUAAAGGGAACAUAGAUUCUUACAUUCUAUUGUUAUCUAGACUUUCAAGGAUCAGAUUAUCUGUCAGAACUGACUCAUAAGACUUGCUCAGCUGUAAAAGAGUCUUCUAGUGCUGUGUGUUAUAAAACAGGAUGACAUGUUCAGUGCUGCAAGCCACACCCUGAAGUUCCUGUACUUUCAGACAGCAAGUCACUCGAGCAGGGACCUUGUUUUCAAGUUCUAAAUCCCAAAGGAUAAUUUCAGCAAUGGGUAAAAAUUUAAGUACUUAAGUGCCUGGUUUUGGAUGAGGUUCCUGUAUUCCCUCUUAGCAGUGACUGUUUGGGUUAAAAUCCAGCCCCUGUAACUUUUUCUAGACCAUGGUCCCAGCAGUAGGAAGGUUCUUCAUAAUUUUAAGUCUGUAACAAAAAGUUCUUGAGGUCCUAAAUACCUUUCAAAGUCAGUAAUCCUCUGGAAAUUUCUGUUUUUGGGGUAAAAUCCAGUCCCUGGGAAUUUAUUUUGACCAUGGUCCCUGCUGUCUUUCAGAAAAGUCUCUGAGGUGGAAAAGUACUUAAUACCUUUUCAAGUCAUAUGGAAAAUUCCCUGUGGUGGAAACAAAUGUAUGCAGGUACAGUAUACCUGUACCUGCAGGGACCCUUUGGGUGGUGGAAGCAAGUCCCUGGGAUACAGAGAUCCUGGAUCUUGAUUGUGGUCCUUGAAGUGGAAACAUACCAAACUUCUUAGUCUCAAGUCCUUUGGGACAGUUCCUGGUGCAGAAAUGAAUACUUGCCUUCUUAAUUAUCAAGUCCUUUGGGAAAGUCCCUGCCACGAACACAUACCAAGUUAUUCCAAAAGUCCCUAGUCCUUUGGGAAAGAUCCCGAGGUAGAGAUAUAGUUACUUUAUCCCAAAGUCCCUUGUCUUUCUGGAAAUCCCUUUGGUAGAUAGAGGUCCACACAGUCCCCGUGUAGCGGUUUUACUGAGUUGGAAUAAGAAGUAGUUUACUUUCUGUUGCGCUAUACGAGCUGAAAGUUCUCUAAGGUCAUGGAUAUACUGUACUUUACCUCCCACAGCUUUUCAUAACACCCAUCUUUGCUACCUGUGCCGACGCAAGAGACCAUUUUAUGUGGCUUUUUGACAGUAACUCACCAAAAGUAGCAAACACAAACAAAUACCAGACAGGUAUUGUUCAGCCUGUUUCCAAACAGUGUGAAUCACCACCUCGCUCCAGCUCAAUCUUCCACCACCCACAGAGUCCUGGAUGGUGCCUCAUCAUCAUUUGAGACCGUGGGUAGGGAACUUUAUUGCCGAACACCUCAGCAUUUCAGGAAAUCCAUCCCCACACCCAUUCCUCCUCCCACCCCACGCUGGUCCUUCCUUCCUCCCCUCGCCGCCGCCACCACAAGCACCACCAACUGCCCUGCCGCCAAUCGUAGCCCAGACAGGUGUCUUAUCUCCAUCACACAGCACAAGCACAGCCAAUCUUCCAGGAAGAUGGCGACUGGAAUGUGACAAAUCCAUCUGUCCUGGUUUGAAUUUGUAUGCUAAUUUGAAGUAAUAGCCCCUCUGGUGACAGUGCAAGGGAACAAUUCAAUCACGCCAUCUAUGACAGUUGCUUUCCAGCCUUCUCUGUGAUAGGGGAGUAUAUGCACGUACCACCGGGUUAGGCUUGAUAAAUUGGUUAUGUAGGGGAGAUGUAGCAUGUAGACUGCAUGUUUAAAAUGUGCUGCCAGUUUGAAAUGACUCCACGACGACUGUGGGCACCUGUGCGAAGGAUGUGCUGCCGCUACCUGUAGGAAAGGAGGGAGAGAAUAUUUGAUUUGACCUAUUUAUUUCUUCUCAUCGGGAGCUGUCCUGAACUUUCACCCACUUUCACUGCUGCAGCCUUCAUGAGAUGUGUGGAAAUGAUAGAAAUACCCCCACAUAAAAUCACACUAACACAAUUGUUACAUUGUCACACUGAAUUAUCUCAGGCUGUUGAUUUGGUUCCGUGAAAAGCUUUCAUGUGUCAGUGGGAAAAAGACGAAGAAACAGAUCAGAGGAAACAGGCAGGAAUAAACGAACAAGCUGAGCUGUGCGGUAUAUUCCAAAGCGGGGCAGCUGUACGGUUUGUGAUUCCUCUUUUGCCUUGGCACUGCCUUGCACCGUGCAAAUGUAUGGCACUCCAUAAUCUUUAAAUUAAUCUACAGCACAGGACAGAUUAUGAUCGAUGGUGACAGAUAAGGCUAAAGAACAAACUGCUCUUCAUUUUGCUUGCAUCAUUCUUUUUCUCUACCUGCAGAGUGGGCCCUACUUUCCUUCACUUAGUUUGUUCACCGUGUUUUCACCGCAAUAAUGCAUUUCCAUUCAAAUGAGCAACAAUCAAAAUCACUCAAAUUUAUCUUUGAAAACAAGAUUUGUUCCAAUGUAGAGAAAAUAAGGUCAUGAAUGUUUUUUUAUUUCAUAAUUUCUGCUAUUGACACAGCUUUCAGGCUGUGUUAAGGUUAAUUAGAUUGACUAUGUAGGUUAUAUUACAGACAAUCACCAUGGGGAACAUUAACCGUCAUCUUCUAUCUUUCCACUCUCUCACCACUGCAGUAAAUUCUCCACAGCUUCUCCAGGAAAAAGGGAAAGUGCACAGCGCUGUGCCAAUUGACCACACUUCAAACGGGUGCAGAUCAUGCGUAGCAAACUCAUCUGAUCAAACAAGAAGGCCAGUGAGGAAAGUGAUGAACAAGAAAAAAAAAAAAAAGACUCUUUUUGCUGCAUGGCUCUCACAUCACAGUAAACAGUGUGCUAAAAGACAGGAGUCUAAAUGAGCCCUGCUAGCGGAUCUGCUUGUACGGUUUGCAGAGAAUUGAAAGGUUUUCUGUGCUCAGCAUGGCUGCACGUGGCUCAUAUAUUCUGUAGUACAAUACAGCGCAGGUUUUUACUCAAAGAGGAGAGUUUGCUUACAUUUAUUCUAAUAGCAGACAGUUUUAACUUUUGUCCAAAGCUCUAUGGAUAUUACCUCAAAUCUGUCACGCUUUCCAUAUUAGAUGUACCAUGAAGGGCUGAAGGAAAAUAUAUUCAAUAGUCUCUAAAUGUGUAAGUCAAUAAAACAAUAAGAAUGCAAAUGCCACAUCGAGGCAAAAAUAAAGCAAACAUAAUGGAAGUUUUAGUUUGCAGAAAAAAAGCAUCAUCAAUGAAAAUAUCUUGUUUAAAUGGUAUAUUGACAGCGUGGUGCUGUUGUUCUGCAGUAAUCUGUGCCUUCAAUGCAACAGAAUUGUAUUUCAUCUCUUCUUUUGCACUAGAGAUAUGGUGCACAGCUCCGACUAAAAUUAAAAUGUCUUAGCAUUCAUGAUUAACAUUUAAAUAAGAUAUAAGAAAUAGUGAUUAAACCAGGGAAAUAUUUUGAAAAGCAAUAUACAGCUAUGGUGUUACAGUCAUAAAAUGGUACGUUUUUGUCAGACUUCAGUCAGACAGUACAAAGUUAAUCAGUUCACAAACCUGCAUGAGUAUACAAUGAUGCUUUUGGAACUAAAUAAACUUUUUUGUGCAAGUUUUGAUCAGACAUAAGAGGUUCCACAGGGUUCCAUUCUAGGUCCACUGUUAUUUCUAAUAUACCUUCGCCCACAAGGUCUGAUAAUUAGUAAAAUACAAUAUUCAAUUACUGAACCAUAUGUCCCACUGAAGUCCAGCUGUAGUGAUGUGUCUUUCAUAUCGUCCUGCUUUAUAGAUAUCAAACACUAGAUGUCUAACAACUUUAGUUUCCAUGACAUUGUGAUCAAGCUUUUGCUGUUUGGGCCCCUAAGCUCUAGAACCUUUGAUUAGCUCAGUCUGUGUUCUUCUUUCAAUCUGCACUAAAACUUUCUUUUAUUGUACAGCCUUUUCCUCCUGGUUUAGAAAGAUACUUAAUGAAACACAUUAUAAUUAUAAUUAUUAAUAUUAUUAGAACAACCUGAUAUCUAAAUUUAAAUGUGCUACAGUUUAGCUCCCUUUGUGACAGCAGUGGUGGUCCUAUUUGUUCAGCUACUACAAUUAAAUUUUAGCUUUUAGCUUUCACCAAAGAUAUGAAAUGCUACUGAGCUUGACAAUUUAGAAGUUAUCUUUUAUCACAGUUAUUAAUAAGCUUGCUGUUCUUUGUAUUGCUCUAAUUCAGUAACACCUAAUUUGUUAAUAACGUAAUGCUAAUAAGCCCCAGGCUAGAUGUAUCAGUGGUGCAAUGGGCUGUGUUAAAAUUUGUGCGAUUGAAUCAUGCAGGUAAGUAAAGCAAGAGCAGAAAGAGAUCAUGUUUAUUGUUAUUCUGCCUGAUGGACUUAAAAGCAGAGCUAUGCAGGAAAUUUCAUAAUGUCACCUGUCUUUGUAUACCUGUUCUAGGAAACAGCUCAUAAAGGUUUCGCCCCGCAGUGACAGGUGUGACAAAACGUAAGGAGGAGUGAGGAAGAUGUCAAUCAAAAUCAGACUGCAUGCCUACACAGUCCUGAGUGAAUGUCAAAUCCUUGUCUUGUGGGGUUGCACUGUGGAUGCGAAAUGUCCUCAAAAUAAAUAGUUUUACAUUUUAAAAGAAGAAAUGGUAUCUGUAUCUUGUAUCUAUCGCAUUAUGCAAAUAAAUAAUUUGUCAUUCUUGUGCUGACUCUUCAUUCUAUUUUUGUCAGAUGUACCAGAUGUAUCAAUACUGUUUUAACUGGGGUGGCCCUACAGUUCAUGCAGGGGUUGGUGCUAAGUUUUGCACCAUUAACUGUAUAUUAAUAUGGACACCACAUCUCCAUACUUCUCUUAUCAUGGGAUAUGAAGCCUUAAUACAGUCCUGAUGGAUACUGCCAUGUUGGAGCUGGGCAGGUGGAACAACAGCAUGUGUAAAGGCAACAGAUUUGGCCUUGGGACUGUCAUCAGCCCCCCUCUUUUUUUUUUUUUUUUAAAGUUCAUAGCAGCUAUUGUUUAGCUGAUUCAAAGCAGCAGUUAGUGACUUUUAAAAGUCCCAUUACAGAGUGCUACGGGUGCCUGAAUUUGUCACUAAAGCUACAAAUAACCAACAAAAAUGAACUUCUCAGAAAAAGGAAAAGUUUGACCUAAGUUUCAGAAGAACAUACAGCAGUAUGGUCACAAAAUGUGAAACCAUGUUUUGAAAAGUUAAUCUUAUGUGUACUUCAAUUUAUAGUUUUGCCCAUGCUCCAUUCAUUAUCUUAAUAGAGGCAGGCUUAAGACCUAUGCUGUUGCCAGUCAGGAGACGGAGCUCUAAAUACUUUUGCAUAAUAGUCUGUAAACAACAGUGAAGUUAUUUUUGAUCUAUUGCUUAUACAAAAGACUAAAUAUAGGGGAGAGUGGGUUAAGUCACGACAUCAAGUCAAUCAUAGUUUUGUCUUUAACUAGUGUAUCUGCAUAUAUUUCAAGAUGUUUUGCCUCCCUGCAAACCAACAGAAUGAGUGUAAACAUAGCUGUCUUGAUAAUAUAGCAUGCCAAAAAAAAAAAAAAAGAAAAAAAAGAAAAAAAGGCAUAUCUACCUUGGCCAUGAAGAUAAAAGUAUCAUACAGAUAUAUCCCUCUGUAUGUUUAUUUUGAUUUUGGUGCAAAAUAUACUUAUAUUUAAGCAUCCUUUAGUUUAUUUGAAAAACAGGAAAGCACGUCCAGCCUGUUUGUUUGUUUGUUUAUAAAUAUGUUUUCAAGAAAGUUUGGGGGAAGAAGAAAAAAAAGCCUCACAGGUGAAGUUGAUAAAGCUUCCUGAUUGCGUGUUCAGGUAGGUCUGCACGAGGCUACAGGUGAACACUGAACAACACCGUCAAUUACUGUAAAUUUUAAGUUAUCUUUCUCAUAUUUCGGGUGCUUUUAACCCCACUUUGACACCUUCACGUCGUCCACACUUUUCACUUUGGAAACCACCGCCCCCGAAAGCAUCCCACUUUAUUUUUCUUUUUUUGGGGGGAGAAGACGCCCACGUGACGGAGGAAGCAGCAGCCAGCUCGGUUGAUACAGCUCGUACGGCGCCGGGCGGAGAAGGCACGCUGGGCACAGAGAGAGAGACUCACACGCACGUUUAUACAGACUCGUCGAGGGAAGACAAGCAGAAGACACAUAUCUCCAUUUGCAGCAUAAGAGCUUCGACCGAGACGGCUGGCACACACACACGCACACCAUGGACGGUUAUGCCCGGACCGAAGAUGAGCUGUUCUCCUCGUGCCUCCUGAACCUCACCUGGGAGAAUUGCUACGAGCAGGUAGGACACCAGUCUCCUUAAGCAAAACUGUAUUACUCGCAACGAAAAUACGCAUGGCUUUGCCUUUAAAGAACAAAAUUGUGCCAAAAAUAAUCAGAUAAGUUUGCAGCACACUCUUAAGUUUUCGGCACGUGAGGUAAGAGGUAACUAAAAUUACGCUUAGUCAAUGAGUGUGACGCUCCUGCCCCA